rnacentral:rRNA from 1 species
AUGAACGCUGGCGGCGUGCCUAAUACCUGCCAGUCGAGCGAACAGACGAGGAGCUUGCUCCUCUGACGUUAGCGGCGGACGGGUGAGUAACACGUGGAUAACCUACCUAUAAGACUGGGAUAACUUCGGGAAACCGGAGCUAAUACCGGAUAAUAUAUUGAACCGCAUGGUUCAAUAGUGAAAGACGGUUUUGCUGUCACUUACAGAUGGAUCCGCGCCGCAUUAGCUAGUUGGUAAGGUAACGGCUUACCAAGGCGACGAUGCGUAGCCGACCUGAGAGGGUGAUCGGCCACACUGGAACUGAGACACGGUCCAGACUCCUACGGGAGGCAGCAGUAGGGAAUCUUCCGCAAUGGGCGAAAGCCUGACGGAGCAACGCCGCGUGAGUGAUGAAGGUCUUCGGAUCGUAAAACUCUGUUAUUAGGGAAGAACAAAUGUGUAAGUAACUAUGCACGUCUUGACGGUACCUAAUCAGAAAGCCACGGCUAACUACGUG